rnacentral:rRNA from 1 species
GAUGAAACGCGUAGCGGCAGGCCUAACACAUGACAAGUCGAGGGGUAACAGGGAGCUUGCUCCGCUGGACGACCGGCGCACGGGUGAGUAACACGUAUGCCAACCUACCUGUAAUUGGGGAAUAACCCGGCGAAAGUCGGACUAACACCGCAUAAUAAUGAAGAUUCGCAUGAAUUUUCAUUUAAAUAUUUAUAGAUUACAGAUGGGCAUGCGCAUGAUUAGAUAGUUGGUGAGGUAACGGCUCACCAAGUCCACGAUCAUUAGGGGUUCUGAGAGGAAGGUCCCCCACAUUGGAACUGAGACACGGUCCAAACUCCUACGGGAGGCAGCAGUGAGGAAUAUUGGUCAAUGGACGCAAGUCUGAACCAGCCAAGUCGCGUGAAGGAUGACUGCCCUAUGGGUUGUAAACUUCUUUUAUAAGGGAAUAAAGUUCGCCACGUGUGGUGAUUUGUAUGUACUUUAUGAAUAAGGAUCGGCUAACUCCGUG